CUGGAAUUGCUUUAUAGCCGUGCUGGAGGCAGCCACGUUCGUUUGCAGAUGACACCACAGUGGCGGGGUUUAUAUCUGGGGGGGGAUGAGCCCACCUACAGAGAAGAAGUGGAGCGGCUGUCGAAUUGGAGCACGGCCAACAGCCUUCUCCUUAACACUGCAAAGACAAAAUAACUCAUAAUAGACUACAGGAGAAAGAAGACUGAGAUCACACCAUUGACCAUCAGCCGGAUCAGUGUGGAGAGGGUGGCAGACUUUCGCUUCCUGGGGGUCCACAUACAGGACAGCCUAUCCUGGAGUGUGGACACCUGAGCUACUGAAAAAGGCCCAGCAGAGACUGUCCUUCCUGAGAAUACUCAGGAAUUGAGGAGUAACAUCACACAAAGACUGCUGGUGUUCUUUUACCGGGCCUCCAUUGAAAGUAUACUCACAUACUGCAUAGGCAUUUGGUAUACCAGCUGUACAGUGGCUCAGAGGAAAAUGCUCCAGAGGGUCAUCAACACCGCUCAAAAGAUUGUUGGCUGCCCUCUCCCCGCACUGGGAGACCUACACAGAUCCCGUUGUCUCAAAAGAGCCCAGAACAUCAUAAGACACUUCACAUCCUGGGCACUCCCGGUUUGAAAUGUUGCCGUCAGGCAGACGGUACAGAUCAAUCGAGGCCAAUGAAUGUUGCACUGACUGGAAGCACUUUAAUUUCGUUGUACCUGUGACAAUGACAAAUAAAGAUCUAUCUAUCAGGAUGCAACAGGGGAUGUUGUGAGCAACACAGACCCCUUGCUGGACUAACCCUCUCUAGCUGGACAGCUUCUCUUCAGCCCUGACCCCAGGAUGGCU